UACAGAGGGUGCGAGCGUUGUCCGGAAUCACUGGGCGUAAAGGGCGCGUAGGCGGUCUGGUAAGCGUGUGGUGAAAGCCCGGGGCUCAACCCCGGGUCGGCCAUGCGAACUGCGAGACUGGAGCCGAUCAGAGGCAGGCGGAAUUCCGGGUGUAGCGGUGGAAUGCGUAGAGAUCCGGAAGAACACCGGUGGCGAAGGCGGC
rnacentral:rRNA from 1 species